rnacentral:tRNA from 1 species
GGUCCUAUCGUCUAAUGGUUAGGACGGCUUUCUUUCAAGAAGCAAACCCGGGUUCGAUUCCCGGUAGGACCG